UGGGGAAUAUUGCGCAAUGGGCGAAAGCCUGACGCAGCGACGCCGCGUGAGGGAUGAAGGCCUUCGGGUCGUAAACCUCUGUCAGGAGGAAAGAACGGCAAGGGUGCUAAUCAGCUCUUGUUUGACGGUACCUCCAAAGGAAGCACCGGCUAACUCCGUGCCAGCAGCCGCGGUAAUACGGAGGGUGCAAGCGUUAAUCGGAAUCACUGGGCGUAAAGCGCACGUAGGCUGCAUUGUAAGUCAGGGGUGAAAUCCCACGGCUCACCCGUGGAACUGCCCUUGAUACUGCUUUGCUUGAGUUUGUGAGAGGAUGGCGGAAUUCCUGGUGUAGGAGUGAAAUCCGUAGAGAUCAGGAGGAACAUCAGUGGCGAAGGCGGCCAUCUGGCGCAACACUGACGCUGAGGUGCGAAAGCGUGGGGAUCAAACA
rnacentral:rRNA from 1 species